UCUACCCUUUUUUGCCUCCCUCCCCAGCCCGUUUCUCGCGCUGCCUCCUCCCCCACUCGCCCGGGACGCCAGUGCGCAGGCGCAGUGGCGGCAGCGGCGCCCCCUGGCGGCUGAGGGGCGGGGGCGCGGCGGGGCCGCCUCCCUCGCUCGCUCCCUCCCCGGCUCGCUCCCUGCCUCCUUCCUCGCGCCUCGGCCCAACAUGGCGAUGCACAACAAGGCGGCGCCGCCGCAGAUCCCGGACACCCGGCGGGAAUUGGCCGAGCUGGUGAAGCGCAAGCAGGAGCUGGCGGAGACGCUGGCAAACUUGGAGAGGCAGAUCUAUGCUUUUGAAGGGAGCUACCUGGAAGAUACCCAGAUGUAUGGCAAUAUUAUUCGGGGCUGGGACCGCUAUCUGACAAAUCAAAAAAACUCCAAUAGCAAAAAUGAUCGUAGGAACCGAAAAUUUAAGGAAGCCGAGCGACUCUUCAGUAAAUCCUCAGUUACUUCAGCAGCUGUAAGUGGGGCAGUCAGUGCAUUGGCUGGAGUUCAGGACCAACUCAUUGAAAAAAGGGAGCCAGGCAGUGGUACAGAGAGUGACACAUCUCCAGACUUUCACAAUCAGGAGAAUGAACCCAGCCAGGAGGACACAGAGGAUCUGGAUGGAUCUGUGCAGGGGGUGAAACCCCAGAAGGCUGCUUCCUCCACCUCUUCAGGGAGUCAUCACAGCAGCCAUAAAAAGAGGAAGAACAAAAACCGACACAGCCCGUCUGGCAUGUUUGAUUAUGACUUUGAGUAUGUAUAUUAGGUUAGGCUGGGAAGUUUUUUUAAAAAACAGAAAAACGUGAUGGAGGAUUGAUCUGAAGCUAAACAAAAAGCCAAGAGCCGAUUAUUAGAAGACCCAUUAGUACAGAAGCUUACAGGCAGUAGAGCCCUGCCCUCAUACAACUUCACCAAGAUAAAUACACCUCCACUGAGUGGCCAUUAAUGUCUGCGCUCCCAGACCCAGUGCCUGCAUUGAGGAGUAGUUUGUUCUAAAAAGGGGUGAAAGAAAAUCCUUUCUGUAAAACCACAUCAGACCAUUUACCUCGUGUCAUUUUUAGUAACUGAACUGCAGGAAGACCAAGGCAUGGUGCAGUCCUAGGUUGCCUACUUUCUGCAUUUCUCCAUUCUUGGGAUUGAGUACUUCCCAGCACUGGCUGCUCUGGCUGCAUCAGAUUCUUCUGUGAUACCCAUCAAGAGAUGUCUUGGGGUUUGUUUUUUGUUUUUUUGAUGCUGAAACCAGCGCCCAGUUGUGUUUUGUCAUAUGGAGGCUGUAAAUAUCAGGCAUUUCCUUAUUCUGCCUUAUGUGUUGUUUGUUGUUACUGUCUUGUUUUCUUUGAGGGGUUUGUUGUAAUAUGCUUGUACAGCUUAUGGCUUCCUGCUGUUUUCUUUGGAAUCUGAUUAUCUUUACUUGGCUUAGAGGCUGAUAUCCUAACACAAAUAAUCCCUAGUAGCAUAAAUAAAGUGGAUGACUUGUCCUAUUUGUCUUUUUGCAGGGGGAAGGUAGAGGGUUAUUUAAUUUUUUUCCCAUCUUCUGAGUUGGAAGCAAUUUCAUGUACAGGAAAAUGGUAAUAGCUAAAAAACAUAAGUUUGAAUCCUUUUAAAAACCCAAGUUUUUAUUAUUUUGUAUAAAAAAUAAAAUUUCACAGGCUUCAGUCUCUCUUCUCAUGCUUUACUUUUGCAUUUGAGAUUUUUUUCCCAUUGAUUUUUAUUUUCCUCAUUUCAUACCAUACAGAAAAUAUCUGGUGUUUGACACUCAUCUCUCUUUUCAUCUUGUCUGUAAUCCUUCAGUUGGCAUUUACCCAAUUCCACAAAGAUCCAUUUUUAAGUUUCUCUCUGCACUUCCAUAAGAUGUAAGGAAGAAUUAAAGAAUUCCAUAGAUAAAUGA